AGCAGCCGCGGUAAUUCCAGCUCCAAUAGCGUAUAUUAAAGUUGUUGCAGUUAAAAAGCUCGUAGUUGAAUUUCGGGGUCAGCAGGUCGGUCGUGCCUACGGUAUGCACUGGCCUUGCUGAUUCCUCCCUCUUGAUGAGCCGUAAUGCCAUUAAUUUGGUGUUGCGGGGAAUCAGGACUGUUACUUUGAAAAAAUUAGAGUGUUUAAAGCAGGCAAGCGCUUGAAUACAUUAGCAUGGAAUAAUGAAAUAGGACGUUCGAUCCUAUUUUGUUGGUUUCUAGGAUUGACGUAAUGAUUAAUAGGGAUAGUUGGGGGCAUUAGUAUUCAAUUGUCAGAGGUGAAAUUCUUGGAUUUAUUGAAGACUAACUACUGCGAAAGCAUUUGCCAAGGAUGUUUUCAUUAAUCAAGAACGAAAGUUAGGGGAUCGAAGACGAUCAGAUACCGUCGUAGUCUUAACCAUAAACUAUGCCGACUAGGGAUCGGAUGAUGUAAUUUUUUAAUGA
rnacentral:sRNA from 1 species